UACGUAGGGUCCGAGCGUUGUCCGGAAUUAUUGGGCGUAAAGGGCUCGUAGGCGGUUUGUUGCGUCGGGAGUGAAAACCUCGGGCUUAACUCGGGGCUUGCUUUCGAUACGGGCAGACUUGAGGCAUUCAGGGGAGAACGGAAUUUCUGGUGUAGCGGUGAAAUGCGCAGAUAUCAGAAGGAACACCGGUGGCGAAGGCGGUUCUCUGGGCAUUACCUGACGCUGAGGAGCGAAAGUGUGGGGAGCGAACAGG
rnacentral:rRNA from 1 species